rnacentral:rRNA from 1 species
GGGUUGUGAGGUUAAGCGACUAAGCGUACACGGUGGAUGCCCUGGCAGUCAGAGGCGAUGAAGGACGUGCUAAUCUGCGAAAAGCGUCGGUAAGGUGAUAUGAACCGUUAUAACCGGCGAUGUCCGAAUGGGGAAACCCAGUGCAAUUCGUUGCACUAUCGUUAACUGAAUACAUAGGUUAACGAGGCGAACCGGGGGAACUGAAACAUCUAAGUACCCCGAGGAAAAGAAAUCAACCGAGAUUCCCCCAGUAGCGGCGAGCGAACGGGGAGCAGCCCAGAGUCUGAAUCAGCUUGUGUGUUAGUGGAACGGUCUGGAAAGUCCGACGGUACAGGGUGAUAGUCCCGUACACCAAAAUGCACAGGCUGUGAACUCGAAGAGUAGGGCGGGACACGUGGUAUCCUGUCUGAAUAUGGGGGGACCAUCCUCCAAGGCUAAAUACUCCUGACUGACCGAUAGUGAACCAGUACCGUGAGGGAAAGGCGAAAAGAACCCCGGCGAGGGAGUGAAAAAGAACCUGAAACCGUGUACGUACAAGCAGUGGGAGCACCUUCGGGUGUGACUGCGUACCUUUGUAUAAUGGGUCAGCGACUUAUAUUCUGUAGCAAGGUUAACCGUAUAGGGAGCCGCAGGAAACCGAGUCUUAACUGGGCGUUAAGUUGCAGGGUAUAGACCCGAAACCCGGUGAUCUAGCCAUGGGCAGGUUGAAGGUUGGGUAACACUAACUGGAGGACCGAACCGACUAAUGUUGAAAAAUUAGCGGAUGACUUGUGGCUGGGGGUGAAAGGCCAAUCAAACCGGGAGAUAGCUGGUUCUCCCCGAAAGCUAUUUAGGUAGCGCCUCGUGAACUCAUCUUCGGGGGUAGAGCACUGUUUCGGCUAGGGGUCAUCCCGACUUACCAACCCGAUGCAAACUACGAAUACCGAAGAAUGUUAUCACGGGAGACACACGGCGGGUGCUAACGUCCGUCGUGAAGAGGGAAACAACCCAGACCGCCAGCUAAGGUCCCAAAGUCAUGGUUAAGUGGGAAACGAUGUGGGAAGGCACAGACAGCCAGGAUGUUGGCUUAGAAGCAGCCAUCAUUUAAAGAAAGCGUAAUAGCUCACUGGUCGAGUCGGCCUGCGCGGAAGAUGUAACGGGGCUAAACCAUGCACCGAAGCUGCGGCAGCGACACUAUGUGUUGUUGGGUAGGGGAGCGUUCUGUAAGCCUGCGAAGGUGACCUGUGAGGGUUGCUGGAGGUAUCAGAAGUGCGAAUGCUGACAUAAGUAACGAUAAAGCGGGUGAAAAGCCCGCUCGCCGGAAGACCAAGGGUUCCUGUCCAACGUUAAUCGGGGCAGGGUGAGUCGACCCCUAAGGCGAGGCCGAAAGGCGUAGUCGAUGGGAAACAGGUUAAUAUUCCUGUACUUGGUGUUACUGCGAAGGGGGGACGGAGAAGGCUAUGUUAGCCGGGCGACGGUUGUCCCGGUUUAAGCAUGUAGGCUGAUUGUCCAGGCAAAUCCGGUAACUUUCAAGGCUGAGGUGUGAUGACGAGGCACUACGGUGCUGAAGUAACAAAUGCCCUGCUUCCAGGAAAAGCCUCUAAGCAUCAGGUAACAUCAAAUCGUACCCCAAACCGACACAGGUGGUCAGGUAGAGAAUACCAAGGCGCUUGAGAGAACUCGGGUGAAGGAACUAGGCAAAAUGGUGCCGUAACUUCGGGAGAAGGCACGCUGGUGUGUAGGUGAAGUCCCUGCGGAUGGAGCUGAGACCAGUCGAAGAUACCAGCUGGCUGCAACUGUUUAUUAAAAACACAGCACUGUGCAAACACGAAAGUGGACGUAUACGGUGUGACGCCUGCCCGGUGCCGGAAGGUUAAUUGAUGGGGUUAUCCGUAAGGAGAAGCUCUUGAUCGAAGCCCCGGUAAACGGCGGCCGUAACUAUAACGGUCCUAAGGUAGCGAAAUUCCUUGUCGGGUAAGUUCCGACCUGCACGAAUGGCGUAAUGAUGGCGGGCUGUCUCCACCCGAGACUCAGUGAAAUUGAACUCGCUGUGAAGAUGCAGUGUACCCGCGGCAAGACGGAAAGACCCCGUGAACCUUUACUAUAGCUUGACACUGAACAUUGAGCCUUGAUGUGUAGGAUAGGUGGGAGGCUUUGAAGCGUGGACGCCAGUCUGCGUGGAGCCAACCUUGAAAUACCACCCUUUAAUGUUUGAUGUUCUAACGUUGGCCCCUUACCGGGGUUGCGGACAGUGUCUGGUGGGUAGUUUGACUGGGGCGGUCUCCUCCCAAAGCGUAACGGAGGAGCACGAAGGUUAGCUAAUCCUGGUCGGACAUCAGGAGGUUAGUGCAAUGGCAUAAGCUAGCUUGACUGCGAGCGUGACGGCGCGAGCAGGUGCGAAAGCAGGUCAUAGUGAUCCGGUGGUUCUGAAUGGAAGGGCCAUCGCUCAACGGAUAAAAGGUACUCCGGGGAUAACAGGCUGAUACCGCCCAAGAGUUCAUAUCGACGGCGGUGUUUGGCACCUCGAUGUCGGCUCAUCACAUCCUGGGGCUGAAGUAGGUCCCAAGGGUAUGGCUGUUCGCCAUUUAAAGUGGUACGCGAGCUGGGUUUAGAACGUCGUGAGACAGUUCGGUCCCUAUCUGCCGUGGGCGCUGGAGAAUUGAGGGGCUGCUCCUAGUACGAGAGGACCGGAGUGGACGCAUCACUGGUGUUCGGGUUGUCAUGCCAAUGGCACUGCCCGGUAGCUAAAUGCGGAAGAGAUAAGUGCUGAAAGCAUCUAAGCACGAAACUUGCCCCGAGAUGAGUUCUCCCUGAGACUUUAAGUCUCCUGAAGGAACGUUAAAGACGAUGACGUUGAUAGGCCGGGUGUGUAAGCGCAGCGAUGCGUUGAGCUAACCGGUACUAAUGAACCGUGAGGCUUAACCUUACAACGCCGAAG